GAUGAACGCUAGCGGCAGGCCUAAUACAUGCAAGCCGAACGGCAAGUUUGAUAGCAAUAUUGGACCUAGAGUGGUGCAAGGGUGCGUAACACGUAUGCAACCUGCCCGCGACAGGAGGAUAGCUCCCCGAAAGGGGAAUUAACCCUCCAUAACACCAUGAGAAGGCCUCUGAUUAUGGUUAAACCGCAAGGGGUCGCGGAUGGGCAUGCGGUUGAUUAGCUAGUUGGCGGGGUAAAGGCCCACCAAGGCGGUGAUCAAUAGGGGUUCUGAGAGGAAGGUCACCCACACUGGCACUGGGAUACGGGCCAGACUGCAAGCGGAGGCAGCAGUAGGGAAUAUUGGAGAAUGGUUGCAAGGCUGAACCAGCCAUGCCGCGUGCAGGAAGAAGGCCUUCUGGGUCGCAAACUGCUUUUUCCUGUGGAUAAAAUACCCGUGCGCGGGGAAUUGAAGGUAACAGGGGAAUAAGCCACGGCUAACUACGUG
rnacentral:rRNA from 1 species